rnacentral:tRNA from 1 species
GGCUGUGGCUCAGUGGUAGAGUUCUUGCCUAGCAUGUGUGAGGCCCUGGGUUCGAAUCUCAGUACCA